UCCAUCGUGAGUUCAGUUAGCACAAGUGACUCAGGGCUACUAGAAACUUCCAUACAGAUGUAAGUAUCACAUUGCAUCACCACAAGGCCACCUUCACGAGUGGCAGGUACUUCUUAAACUAUAUGUCUUUUAAAGGGAUUUCAGAUGUUACUGCGGAAGGUAGGGGAAUGACUUCCUGGCCAGCAUAAACCAGGACAGGAGGUCAUGACUGUGUAUGGAAGGUUACUUAGCUCCUCCCAGGAGUUGGAUUCCACAUCUUGAGCAUCUUUUCUCAUUGGUUCUCAGCAAGUCCCUCUCUGGAAUCCCCAUCUCAGGUUGUCUGUAUUUCAGAUCUUCACGGAGCUCCCUGCCUCAUUCUGUGGUCACCACUAAUGGCUAGCUCUGCCUACCAUCCUUGGGGGAAACAGCUAAAAAUACCCUUCAGACUUCUAUAUCACAAGGGUUCUUGUAAAGCCAGAGAAGCACAGAAACACCCACACCUCUGUUAACACGUCAUACGACCAGACUCGGGUAUUAAAGAUGAGUUUGGGGAAGCAGUUCCUAGCUACAGACCUUCAGCUCAACAAAGACUGAAAGCAAACUCUAAGAAAACUCACCACCGACUGUGGACUCGUGACACAGAAUGCUCUGAAAUUCCCUCUCUCUGCCUGUGCAGCCCAACAACAGGACAGCCUGGAGAGGCCGUCACUCUGCACGUUCCUGAG
rnacentral:lncRNA from 1 species